UCUCUGAACUCUCUCAGCCCCACCUACCUCACAAUGUGUCUGUUGUAGGGAGAGGAAGGGACGGCCGCUUUGAGACAGGAGAGGAAGGUGAGGUAUAAAUCCAAACUCUUUUCUUCUGCUUCUGCUAGGGAGCAAUCUGUCAGUUACCCGUUUGCUGAAAAGUCUUCUGGGGGCGUGGUGGAAAACAGCAGCUGUGGGGAGCUGGGGCAAGAAAAGCGCCGUGAAAAUCGUUGUGAAGGUGGCUUCGUUGCUAGCGUGGAUACCUCUGCAUUCACAGCAGCAAGAGUUCCGCAGAGGAUUGUGGCUGUGUGGAAAUAGUCCACGUUGCCAGGCUUGCAAUGAAGCUGCUGAAAGCGCCGCCUUCCCCACCGCCAGCUCCUUCCUUUUCUUUUCUUGAAUUGUUCCCAUUUCUUGCCUUCUCCCUUGUUUGGUCAUCCCACACGCACUGUUGGGGGGAACUGGCGUGUGGCUAAUUCCCCGCAGGUUGAUGCAGCUGGUGGCAAAACCUAGACAUUCCAAGAGUGGGCACCAUAAAAGUCCGUGUAGAAAACUGGAGAGAUCCCAUGCGUGGAUUGUCCACCUGUGAUGAACUGUGUGUCUCUCGAUCACAACACUUGCAUGCAGCGACGUCAAUGUAGGAAACGUUUAUCUUCCCUGCACUCGACUUCUCCAGUUGGAGAAACUGUUCCCCAGUGAAGCACAGGUGUGUGGUGUGGGCCGUUCUCCGAAGAGAAGCACGCCGUCCGCUUGAGUCCGCUUCGCUGAUGUCUUGCCGUAUCAGUGUGCCACAAAAGGUGCUUCGUGCGCUUGAAACCAGCUCGGCAGGGGCCAGUGGUGGCCCAGAUGGGCCCGGUGGGAGUCCAGUGAGCCAUGAUGGGCUUUCCCUGGGGUGGAUCUUUGCUAACCUUAAUGGCCAGUCAAAAAAGCAUUUCAGAUAUGCAUACAUCAGCCCUAUUCUACUGCAUCCCUGAAUAUCAUUUAGCAUACAAAAAAAAGCAACUCGACAUAAAAAUGGCAGUGCUGUGGUCAGACCCAGGGGGAGCUUGGUUUUUUUUAGAACAGGGAGCUGCAGGCACCACGCCCCCAGAAGAGUUGCAGACCCCUGUUUUAGAAGGUGAGGCCUGAGCGGAGCCACACACAAGUAGCGCUGUGGGACGGGAUCGCUCUCCCCUUCCAGUCCACAAUGCUGGUUUCCACGCUUUUUAUAGUUGCGGGUCCCUCGGGCACACAACAGGGAAGGGGGCUAUCGAGGGAGUCCGUGAUCCUGAUGCAUCGUUAACCCUCCUGCAAAAAACAACAACACCUAUUUGUGAAAUGAACAUUGGACUUUUUUUAAAAAAAAUUAAACUUGGGGGAAAGUUGGCAAAACUGGAGGCUUGCUGGUUACUGUUUUUGAAACCUCAUACUUGUUCUUUAGACUAGUAUUGAUAUAUAAAACCUCUGACUUUAGCAAGG